UACGUAGGGACCAAGCGUUGUUCGGAUUUACUGGGCGUAAAGGGCGCGUAGGCGGCUUAACAAGUCACUUGUGAAAUCUCCGGGCUUAACUCGGAACGGCCAAGUGAAACUGUCAAGCUAGAGUGCAGAAGGGGCAAUCGGAAUUCUUGGUGUAGCGGUGAAAUGCGUAGAUAUCUGGAGGAACACCGGUGGCGAAGGCGGCAUCCUGGACCGAGAUUGACGCUGAGGCGCGAAAGCCAGGGGAGCAAACGGG
rnacentral:rRNA from 1 species